GCUUGCUUCAGCAUGCAUAUACUAAAAUUGGAAUAAUACAGAAAAGAUUAGCAUGGCCCCUGCUCAAGGUUGAUCUGCAAAUUCAUAAAACAUUCCAUAUUUUA